rnacentral:rRNA from 1 species
ACGCUCGACACCUACGGGAAGCAGCAGUUAGGAAUAUUGGGCAAUGGAGGAAACUCUGACCCAGCAACGCCGCGUGAAGGAAGAAGGUUUUCGGAUUGUAAACUUCUGAUCUAGGGGAAGAAGGAAGUGACGGUACCCUAGGAGAAAGCCACGGCUAACUACGUACCAGCAGCCGCGGUAAUCUGAGCGGGCUGGCAAGGC